rnacentral:SRP_RNA from 1 species
GGCGGGCCUCCCCGCAUGGCAGCCCCGUGAACCUGGUCAGGUCCGGAAGGAAGCAGCCACAGCGGAUCGUUACCAGUGCCGGGGUCAAGGCUCGCCACU